GUUUCAGGUUUUUAUUUAUUUGUUGUUGUUGACUAACUGUUUAUAUCCCUUAGAUCUUACAUUCAAUUAUCUUUUAUUUUAGAAGAGGAGUAGGAAUUACUGUAUUGGUCCUUUGAAAUAUCUAAUAGUAUGAAGGGUGCUUUUCCCAACAAUUUUUUUGUAUUGAGAAUUUUUAGACCUACCAAUAGAUUUGAGAGAAUUAUACCUUGAACAAUUAAACAUUCUUCAUCUAGAUUUUGUAAUCAUUAGCAACUUGUUUCCUUAUAUAUAUUUAUACAUGUAUAAAUGUAUAUGUAUAAAUAUACAUAUUUACACAUUUAUAUAUGUAUAUGUAGAUGGAUGUGUCACUCCCACAUACUUUAUUAUGCCUCUCGUAAGGAUAAGGACAGACUCCUAUAUAACCUAAACCUAAUAUCACAUCUAAGAAACCUAACAAUUCUGUAAUAUUACCAAAUGUCCCAACUGUAUAAGUGAGUGUGUAUGACUUAUAUACAGGAACGUAUACCAUUAUUUUUUGUUCUUUUUUUUUUUAAGAGAGAGAAUAUCUUUUGUAGAUGGACAUAACAUAAUGCCUUUAUUUUUAUGUGGUGCUGAGAAUCGAACCCGGGUCCCGCCCUUGCUAGCGAGCGCUCUACCGCUGAGCCACAAUCCCAGCCCCUUUUUUAUUCUUUAUAUGGUGUUAUUUAACUUGAUGCUGUAUUUUCAUUGUAGUGACUAUUAUAUAUUCCUAAGAGUUAACAAUCAGAACCAUUUGAUUUAUGGUUCAAAAGAAUGAAACAAAUAUUUUCAUGAUUAUAUCAGAAGCUGUUCUCAUAAAUGAACAUUGUUAACCUUAAAUUAUUUGUAUAUGCUGUAUAAUAGACUCUAACCUUAGGCCAUUGACAUUACUGUAGCUCAUUAUAGUUGUUUUUCUGUUCUUUAUUUUCAGUUGUGUUCAGAGUAACUGAAGAAAGUUUGUUUUUCCCCCCUCUCCAAAACAGCUCCUCCCUUUCAUUCAAGCCUAAAUCAUUUUUUUUUCUCAGCUCAUUCACCCACUGGACUUACUCUAGCUGAAUUUUGUGUAAUUUUAGAAGUACAGUCAGCAACUAUAGGGCUAUAUUUUUGGAUACAUAAGUUUUGGAAUGUUAAUCUUAAAACUUAUCUAUAAUUAUACCUUCUGUUAAGAAGGGAGGGAAAGUUUUUUCUUUUUAAAAGUUCUAAUUGUGACUUAAUUUUCUGCAAGUUGGUUACCAAAUUGAAAGCAAGCUGAGUAAAAU
rnacentral:lncRNA from 1 species